GUUGUAUUGCUAUUUUUGAAUCAGCUCUAGAUGAUGGUGAUGCUGAAGAGGCCCAUCGUAUCCACAUUUCUCUGAUGGUAGACUUUGUAGCAGAGGUUAACCAAUGGAUGGUAGCUGUUAAGAAAUUGAUCAAUUUAGUUCAGGCAUCAAAUGCAAUCCCAGCUCACUCCUGAUGGCAAAUUUUAUUCAAAAAUGAAUGAAUUUGCGAAAGUAUAGUGGCACCUUAGUUGCCAUUUAGCAGUAUAUGAACUUGUGUUGUCAAAAUAUUUUAAAUUAGAGAGGGAGUUAACGAAAUAUUUACUUUUAAAAUGGACUUGGCUGUAAUAGUGACGGACUUUAACUUUAAAGCAUAGCAUAUUGACAACAGAGUAUGUUUAUUUCCUUUAUAAAGUGUCUUUUUUUUCGUUAUUCAUUGUGGUGGUAUUGGGUAGUGAAGUAUAGUUUAUGGAUAUUCUGUUUAGUGAUGUUGAGUUAUUACAGGUGCCUUUUGUUUUUUUACCAUGAAGACUCAGACUGUGCUACCUACAAAGUAAUGAUUCAUUGGUAUUUUUUUCAUAAUUACUUAAGACGAGACCAUUUAGUGAAAAAGUCAUGCAGUGUUAUGCACAAAGAUUUUAUUUUGAGAAGAUUUCCUCUUUGUUGUAUUCGACGUAUUUAUUUCUCCAAUUUAAGAGCAAUUCACAGAAAUCUGUUUACAGCAGAGGAACAUGGCAAUGUUUUCCCUUUUAAUCGAAGGAAAUUAUGAAAACUGCUCAUUCAGUUCUUACGUUUUCUUAGCGCGAAUCACAACAGUGAUCAAUACAUGUAUGUUCUCUUGUGUUAUUACCCUGUAGACCAGAGUUUCAACCAGAAUAAAUAAUAUCAUAAGCAGGCCGUUGUAUAACCUUAAGUAUUAUCGUCUUAACUGCAUGAGGAGAAGAGAGGAGAAUAAAU